rnacentral:rRNA from 1 species
GACGAACGCUGGCGGCGUGCCUAAUACAUGCAAGUAGAACGCUGAAGAGAGGAGCUUGCUCUUCUUGGAUGAGUUGCGUACGGGUGAGUAACGCGUAGGUAACCUGCCUUGUAGCGGGGGAUAACUAUUGGAAACGAUAGCUAAUACCGCAUAACAAUGGAUGACACAUGUCAUUUAUUUGAAAGGGGCAAUUGCUCCACUACAAGAUGGACCUGCGUUGUAUUAGCUAGUAGGUGAGGUAACGGCUCACCUAGGCGACGAUACAUAGCCGACCUGAGAGGGUGAUCGGCCACACUGGGACUGAGACACGGCCCAGACUCCUACGGGAGGCAGCAGUAGGGAAUCUUCGGCAAUGGGGGCAACCCUGACCGAGCAACGCCGCGUGAGUGAAGAAGGUUUUCGGAUCGUAAAGCUCUGUUGUAAGUCAAGAACGAGUGUGAGAGUGGAAAGUUCACACUGUGACGGUAGCUUACCAGAAAGGGACGGCUAACUACGUG